GGGAUAUAACUCAGUUGGUAGAAUGCUUGCCUAGCAUGCACAGGCCUGGGUUCAACCCCCAGUACCACCA
rnacentral:tRNA from 1 species